CAGCCGCCGCGGUAAUACGUAGGGUGCAAGCGUUAAUCGGACUUACUGGGCGUAAAGCGUGCGCAGGCGGUUCGGAAAGAAAGAUGUGAAAUCCCAGAGCUUAACUUUGGAACUGCAUUUUUAACUACCGGGCUAGAGUGUGUCAGAGGGAGGUGGAAUUCCGCGUGUAGCAGUGAAAUGCGUAGAUAUGCGGAGGAACACCGAUGGCGAAGGCAGCCUCCUGGGAUAACACUGACGCUCAUGCACGAAAGCGUGGGGAGCAAACAGGAUUAGAUACCCUGGUAGUCCACGCCCUAAACGAUGUCAACUAGCUGUUGGGGCCUUCGGGCCUUGGUAGCGCAGCUAACGCGUGAAGUUGACCGCCUGGGGAGUACGGUCGCAAGAUUAAAACUUAAAGGAAUGGCGGG
rnacentral:rRNA from 1 species